GACGAACGCUGGCGGCGUGCUUAACACAUGCAAGUCGAACGGAAAGGCCCUGCUUUUGUGGGGUGCUCGAGUGGCGAACGGGUGAGUAACACGUGAGUAACCUGCCCUUGACUUUGGGAUAACUUCAGGAAACUGGGGCUAAUACCGGAUAGGAGCUCCUGCUGCAUGGUGGGGGUUGGAAAGUUUCGGCGGUUGGGGAUGGACUCGCGGCUUAUCAGCUUGUUGGUGGGGUAGUGGCUUACCAAGGCUUUGACGGGUAGCCGGCCUGAGAGGGUGACCGGCCACAUUGGGACUGAGAUACGGCCCAGACUCCUACGGGAGGCAGCAGUGGGGAAUAUUGCAAAAUGGGCGGAAGCCUGAUGCAGCAACGCCGUGUGCGGGAUGACGGCCUUCGGGUUGUAAACCGCUUUCGCCUGUGACGAAGCGUGAGUGACGGUAAUGGGUAAAGAAGCACCGGCUAACUACGUG
rnacentral:rRNA from 1 species